rnacentral:lncRNA from 1 species
UUGGUACGAAGUGCCAAGAUGGAUCCACUCUCCCGUAUCCCCAAUUGAAGUUACACAAGUUAUCCUGGAACAACUACCUAAUCUACGAGAUUUACAGGCUGCCAUUUUGGCAUCCAGACCCCUAUAUCUCGCAUAUAACACCUCUCGCAAGCUCAUUCGUCAGCGAGUGUUCCGGAUCCAGAUCCUCUGCGGCUGUCUCCCGGCCAAUAACGACGCCGCUAUCUUUACCCGAGCCCUCCGUCAAAUUGAGACAUCGGAGAAAAAGAACUCAAACGAUGGUAUCAUCCUACGAGAAUCGCUAUGGCCACUCUUAAUUUCUGUUUGCCCGGAGAGAAAGCUCUUGGAAAUCUUGGUUACAUGGUCUCUCGACUAUGCAAAAGCGUAUCGGGCCUCUUCUCGCGAGAAAGAGGCCAGGCACAUGUGACAGCCGUACGGUAAGCUAUCACCAAGGCGCCGUGGCGGAGACUCUUGGCAGAGCUGGU